AGGCCAGUCAGGGCUACUCAGACAGAGCCUGUCUCAAAAAGAAAAAAAAGGAAAAAAAAAGGAGGGUGUCUCAAGAAUAGAAGGAAAGUGGGAAUAGACCGUAACUAAGAGAAAGAAGAAAGAAAGGUAGAGGGGACACAGCCCAGGAGCUGGGAAUCAAAGCCCCCAGAGUAAACCACACAGGGGUGAAGGACCCCCACAUGCUCCUCUCCACAGAGCAUCAGCAGGAAGACUGGAGUUUGACUCAGGGUUGAUUUCUGAUAUUUGACUGACUCUGAAACUUUAGGUGUACCUGCCCACAGCCCGCGUCUCAGUCUUCUAUGCUUGGCAGUUUGCUGGUCUCCUAUUGUAGGAAACUGACACUCCAAAAGCAGAUCUCCCAGGUCCAAGGUCACACUCCUUCUGUGGGCCUGAUUUGUUCCUGGCCUCCAGCAAUGCCCUGCCCAGAGCCUGGCUGUAAGAAGCAAGAACCACCCCCGCCCCUGGCUUCUCUGCUUUGUCCUAAAUUACCCUGGGUUACCUGGUCCAAGAGACACUGACCCCCCAAGAUAGCAGCAUGCAUCUCCAGGAGCAUCUAUGGCUCUGAGCUCUUGUUUGGGCGCUGGGAAGGAGAAUGACCUGUGAGCCAUUAAUACCCCCCAACUGCCAACUUAACCUCUGGAUUUUGUUUGCAAAUAAAAGCUUGCCCACCUCCCCAA